AUGGCCACCAGGUUCCUUUACUACCUGGUCCUUUGUUUCUUGAGAGCAGAACCAACAAAUGGUGGUGUCAUCCAAACACCUAGACACAAGGUGACAGGGAAGGGACAAGAAGUAACUCUGAGAAGUGAGCCAAUUUCAGGACAUUCUGCUGUUUUCUGGUACAGACAGAGCACUGUGAAGGGACUGGAAUUCCUGAUUUACUUUAACAACCAAGCUCCUAUAGAUGAUUCAGGGAUGCCCAAGGAACGAUUCUCAGCCCAGAUGCCCAAUCAGACGCUCUCCACUCUGAAGAUCCAGACCACACAACCCCAGGACUCUGCAGUGUAUCUUUGUGCCAGCAGCUUAGACACAGAGCUGCAGACUCAUGUUCUGCUGAGACAGAAACCAAAUUCUUCCUCUUCCAGGUCCACCUCCAAGAACCUGUUCUUAACUGUGAUCCUGAGGUUUUUUUCACAACAGGAAGUACAUGGGUUUAAUGCUGUUUCUGGCCCUAGACAAGACAAGAACAGAUGGUAA